ensembl:lncRNA
AAUCGUUAUAUGUGUGUUGUGCAGAGUUGUUGUUGCUUAUGAAAAACAUUACAAAUCAGUCACUUUUGAAGUAUGGCAGCUCACCAGAUUUUGGACCAAGCCAAUAUUUUGGAGUUGGAUAAGUGAUCUUCUGUCUCACUGUAACACCCGCGAAGAAUGCACGGAAGGAAAUAAUUUGGUUUCACAGCUACUUCUAUGUAUGUGUGGGCCGGAUCAGAAGACUACGUUCGCUCAGGAGUCAGGAUUGCAGCAGGAGAAAGAACACAACAACAACUUCUGGAAAAGAAAACUCAACAGAAAGUAAACAACAAAAAUGCACAGGUAAAUAACCAGAUGAAAAGGUAUCAGUCCAAAGCAAAUACUUAGUCCUUUGAAAUAAAUGUCCAACGUGGAAACAAAAAUACUCAGAUCCUUGAGUGAAAAGAGUUUCGAUGCUUAGCAAAAAAUGUGUCCAAAAAGUAAAAAACAGGUUUACACAAUAUUUCCUACCAGUGUGAUGAACAACU